rnacentral:rRNA from 1 species
AGAGUUUGAUCCUGGCUCAGGACGAACGCUGGCGGCGUGCCUAAUACAUGCAAGUAGAACGCUGAAGAGAGGAGCUUGCUCUUCUUGGAUGAGUUGCGAACGGGUGAGUAACGCGUAGGUAACCUGCCUUGUAGCGGGGGAUAACUAUUGGAAACGAUAGCUAAUACCGCAUAACAAUGGAUGACACAUGUCAUUUAUUUGAAAGGGGCAAUUGUUCCACUACAAGAUGGACCUGCGUUGUAUUAGCUAGUAGGUGAGGUAAUGGCUCACCUAGGCGACGAUACAUAGCCGACCUGAGAGGGUGAUCGGCCACACUGGGACUGAGACACGGCCCAGACUCCUACGGGAGGCAGCAGUAGGGAAUCUUCGGCAAUGGGGGCAACCCUGACCGAGCAACGCCGCGUGAGUGAAGAAGGUUUUCGGAUCGUAAAGCUCUGUUGUAAGCCAAGAACGGGUGUGAGAGUGGAAAGUUCACACUGUGACGGUAGCUUACCAGAAAGGGACGGCUAACUACGUGCCAGCAGCCGCGGUAAUACGUAGGUCCCGAGCGUUGUCCGGAUUUAUUGGGCGUAAAGCGAGCGCAGGCGGUUUGAUAAGUCUGAAGUUAAAGGCUGUGGCUCAACCAUAGUUCGCUUUGGAAACUGUCAAACUUGAGUGCAGAAUGGGAGAGUGGAAUUCCAUGUGUAGCGGUGAAAUGCGUAGAUAUAUGGAGGAACACCGGUGGCGAAAGCGGCUCUCUGGUCUGUAACUGACGCUGAGGCUCGAAAGCGUGGGGAGCGAACAGGAUUAGAUACCCUGGUAGUCCACGCCGUAAACGAUGAGUGCUAGGUGUUGGAUCCUUUCCGGGAUUCAGUGCCGCAGCUAACGCAUUAAGCACUCCGCCUGGGGAGUACGACCGCAAGGUUGAAACUCAAAGGAAUUGGCGGGGGCCCGCACAAGCGGUGGAGCAUGUGGUUUAAUUCGAAGCAACGCGAAGAACCUUACCAGGUCUUGACAUCCCGAUGCUAUUUCUAGAGAUAGAAAGUUACUUCGGUACAUCGGUGACAGGUGGUGCAUGGUUGUCGUCAGCUCGUGUCGUGAGAUGUUGGGUUAAGCCCCGCAACGAGCGCAACCCCUAUUGUUAGUUGCCAUCAUUCAGUUGGGCACUCUAGCGAGGCUGCCGGUAAUAAACCGGAGGAAGGUGGGGAUGACGUCAAAUCAUCAUGCCCCUUAUGACCUGAGCUACACACGUGCUACAAUGGUUGGUACAACGAGUUGCGAGUCGGUGACGGCGAGCUAAUCUCUUAAAGCCAAUCUCAGUUCGGAUUGUAGGCUGCAACUCGCCUACAUGAAGUCGGAAUCGCUAGUAAUCGCGGAUCAGCACGCCGCGGUGAAUACGUUCCCGGGCCUUGUACACACCGCCCGUCACACCACGAGAGUUUGUAACACCCGAAGUCGGUGGGGUAACCUUUUGGAGCCAGCCGCCUAAGGUGGGACAGAUGAUUGGGGUGAAGUCGUAACAAGGUA